GGGCCCGUGACCGUGUAUUCGACCGGGAUUAAAGCCGACGCGCACUUCUCGGGACGUGGGUUCGACUCCCACCGGGUCCA
rnacentral:tRNA from 1 species